rnacentral:rRNA from 11 species
CGCCGAAAGACCAAGGGUUCCUGCGCAACGCUAAUCGGCGCAGGGUAAGCCGGCCCCUAAGACGAGCCCGAAGGGGGUAGUCGAUGGGAACCACGUUAAUAUUCGUGGGCCUGGAGAUGUGUGACGGAUGGUGGAUGUAGUUCGACCUUAUUGGAUUGGUCGGGCUGCCAAAUCGUUCCAGGAAAUAGCCUCUCCAUAUAGACCGUACCCGAAACCGACACAGGUGGUCAGGUAGAGAAUAC